CCUACGGGAGGCAGCAGUGAGGAAUAUUGGUCAAUGGACGAGAGUCUGAACCAGCCAAGUAGCGUGAAGGAUGACUGCCCUCUGGGUUGUAAACUUCUUUUAUAAAGGAAUAAAACGAGGCACGUGUGCCUUUUUGCAUGUACUUUAUGAAUAAGCAUCGGCUAACUCCGUGCCAGCAGCCGCGGUAAUACGGAGGCUGCGGGCGUUAUCCGGAUUUAUUGGGUUUAAAGGGAGGGUAGAGGGGUGCUUAAUUCAGUUGUGAAAGUUUGCGGCUCAACCGUAAACUUGCAAUUGAUACUGGCAGUCUUGAGUACGGUGAGGGUAGGCGGAAUUAGUGGUGUAGCGGUGAAAUGCUUAGAUAUCACGAAGAACCCCGAUUGCGAAGGCAGUGUACUAGACUAUGACUGACAUUGAGGCUCGAAAGUGUGGGUAUCAAACAGGAUUAGAUACCCGGGUAGUC
rnacentral:rRNA from 1 species